AUAACUGAAUGAUGAAAAUUACUUGAUUGAUAUUGCCAGAAAUCCCCAGGUGAUAUUAUUGACGUAAAAUAUUCUCAAUUGGAUAUGCGAAAUUAUAUUAAUGUAUAAUUUUAACACUAUUUCUAAUAUUUACCAAUUCCAUUAUUCAGUUAGUUGACUAUGUAUCUAUACGUACAAUCCCUUGAAUAAGAAGAAGAUAUCAAUCUUUCUCUUUUCUCUAUUUAGAAAUGUAAUCAAAACUUUCAAUGCAUUUCCAUUUCAGAUCGUAAGCAAAACGAGAUAAACCACGUCGCAUUUCCAUUUUUUUAGAGAAAAAUUUUAUAUGCAAAUUAAUUAAGACAGUCACGUACUAAAUUCUUUAAUUCCAAAAAAGUUUCACAAAAUAAGAUUGAAUAGAAUAUUAUGGAAAGUUGGAUAACUUUUACAAUGGAAAAAUGCACCAUGUCAUGACUUUUAUCAUAAGUCACGAAAAACAACAGUCCAUUUAUGAAUCCUGGAAGUUUGAUGACUUUCCUACCAGUAGUUGGGAAUUAAAGAUGAGAUUUCGGUAUAAAGGCAGGCCUUAGUAUUCACCAGUUUGAAACAUCAUUCAUGAGAAUAAUUUAUGAGUAUUUCUGUUAAAAUACAUUUGGAAAAUUGUCACAGAGUAUCUUUCACCGAGUUAUGUAAGAUUAAAAUGUUAAUAUCAAUAUUCACUUCAAAUUAUCAAUUGAGAUUUAAUUUUUGAUUUUAUUUUUAAUAAAACUUUAUUCCAAUUUUAUUGGCUUUAUUUUUAACGAUAAGUAACGGAUGAAAAAAUAAAGUCAUGAAAAAUAGGUAAUUCUUUCAAAUAUGUAAAAUGAACUGCAGAAUAAGAUACUCCUAUAAUAGUCCAUUGGUAAUUUGUAGUAAUCAGGGUGGUAAGGAUAUUUCAACACCUACUAGAGCUAACUUGGAAAUUACAGCCCCGAUUGAUGCCUUAUGGGAAGAAACAACUUACAUAUCUCAGAGAGAUCAAAAAGAGAAACCGCAGCACGUUUCGAAAAAUAUUGUGAUAGGGUCGCUCAGUGUUUGGGGUUGUUGAAACUAAAACAUUUUUAUCUACGUGAAGAAAUCCAGUGUGGGGCGCUUUAUUAUUGGGAAAGAAAAUAUUACACAUUCCAUGGUGGGAACUACAGUAAAGUUUGUUCUCAAAAAAGAUAUCGCAACCAUUCAUCGCAAUUAGGAGAUAGUUACAAUCGCUCCUUAUAGACAUUCUGGAAUGUCUGGCAUAACUUUCAAACCUGAAUCCCGUAGAGAACAUUUAAAAGAUUAUCGCGUGACAAGUUUAUACCGAAAGCGGGUAAUAUUGGAAUGUACGCAUGUUCAAAAACGUAGCGAGGGUGUAAUUCAAAGGAAAUAAGGUGCAACAGACUAUGUGCUAAAUUGUUUUUCUUUUGUUAAUGGCUUUGGAUUAAUGUGGUAAGAGAGAAGCUUGCUUAGCAGAAGCUUGAAUACACUCAUUCGCGAUAAAACCAAAAACUGUUAGAAUGAAUUUUCAGAU